GCACCCUUCGGGAGGGCAGCUGGGAGCCUCUCCUACCCUGCCGAGCUGGCUCAAUGGAGUGCUUCCAGAUGUGGUCUGCCCAAGGUGGGCUUUCAAAGAAGAAAGGGAUAUGGCAAGGUACAAGGGGGAGGGAAUUCAAGAAGGAGAAAAUGAGAAGAUCUCAGCUCCCUUCCUGCUCAAGGCAGAAAAGCCUGUCACCAGCUCUGACAGAACACUGAACACCAGACAACCUCUAAAUCCCCCGCCUCUCUGAGAUUCCAGAAUGUUCUAGCACUUAGGAGCCUUUAGAAGGUGGAGGGAAAAAAAAGAUCAAAAAGUGUGUUGCAUAAACAAUUAUUUCUGAGGAACAAAAGGGAAGAGAAGUCAAAGAAUUUCAGACUCUUAGAACAGAAUUACUUCUGCAAGAAUUUCAACAAUAAAAGUACUUUUAUAACUCCAAGUGUAUAUUUUGUUACUGAAAGCCAAAAAUAAUAUACUGGCUGAUCAAAACUGACAACACCAACCUCAAAUGUCACUGAAUACUGAAAACAUGUACAGCCAGAUCCGAAUUAACAAGAGUCUAUCCAGACCAUCAAAAUAUAUGGCAGCUUGGCGCCUUGUCACAGAUGGUCAGUAAUGGCUUCAAGGCCAGUAAAGCAGCCGGUGGAAGAAGGAGAGCCAUGCCCUCCAGCACCAAUGCCUCCCCUCACCCAGCAUGAUUACUCCUAAUGGCAGCUGAGGUGCCAAAACCAACAGUGGCAUGUGUAGGCAAACUGUAGCUCCUAGUUGACCAACUAUGCGGUAUUCCGUACAAUCCAUGAACACAUGUGAAAUGGGAGGCCCUGCAUUCUGCGAGGGUAAGCAUGGUGUUUUUGUGCCCUAUCUCCCUGCUGGCAACUCUCUGGGGAGACUUGUGUGCCUUGGUCUGAGCCAGAAGAACAAACUGAGCUGAAGACAGAUCCUUAUUCUCCGGGAGCUCACUUGAUAUGGUAGUACACACGUGUGAUCCUGGCAUUUGAAAGGCUGAGGCAGGGGGUUGGGGACUUAGCUCAGUGGUAGAGCGCUUGCCUAGGAAGCGCAAGGCCCUGGGUUCAGUCCCCAGCUCCGAAAAAAAGAACCAAAAAAGAAAAAAAGAAAAAAAAGAAAGGCUGAGGCAGGAGGAUUGAGAGUGGGAAUUCAGC
rnacentral:lncRNA from 1 species